rnacentral:rRNA from 1 species
AAAUUGAAGAGUUUGAUCAUGGCUCAGAUUGAACGCUGGCGGCAGGCCUAACACAUGCAAGUCGAACGGUAACAGGAAGCAGCUUGCUGCUUUGCUGACGAGUGGCGGACGGGUGAGUAAUGUCUGGGAAACUGCCUGAUGGAGGGGGAUAACUACUGGAAACGGUGGCUAAUACCGCAUAACGUCGCAAGACCAAAGAGGGGGACCUUCGGGCCUCUUGCCAUCAGAUGUGCCCAGAUGGGAUUAGCUUGUUGGUGAGGUAACGGCUCACCAAGGCGACGAUCCCUAGCUGGUCUGAGAGGAUGACCAGCCACACUGGAACUGAGACACGGUCCAGACUCCUACGGGAGGCAGCAGUGGGGAAUAUUGCACAAUGGGCGCAAGCCUGAUGCAGCCAUGCCGCGUGUAUGAAGAAGGCCUUCGGGUUGUAAAGUACUUUCAGCGGGGAGGAAGGUGUUGUGGUUAAUAACCACAGCAAUUGACGUUACCCGCAGAAGAAGCACCGGCUAACUCCGUGCCAGCAGCCGCGGUAAUACGGAGGGUGCAAGCGUUAAUCGGAAUUACUGGGCGUAAAGCGCACGCAGGCGGUCUGUCAAGUCGGAUGUGAAAUCCCCGGGCUCAACCUGGGAACUGCAUUCGAAACUGGCAGGCUUGAGUCUUGUAGAGGGGGGUAGAAUUCCAGGUGUAGCGGUGAAAUGCGUAGAGAUCUGGAGGAAUACCGGUGGCGAAGGCGGCCCCCUGGACAAAGACUGACGCUCAGGUGCGAAAGCGUGGGGAGCAAACAGGAUUAGAUACCCUGGUAGUCCACGCCGUAAACGAUGUCUACUUGGAGGUUGUGCCCUUGAGGCGUGGCUUCCGGAGCUAACGCGUUAAGUAGACCGCCUGGGGAGUACGGCCGCAAGGUUAAAACUCAAAUGAAUUGACGGGGGCCCGCACAAGCGGUGGAGCAUGUGGUUUAAUUCGAUGCAACGCGAAGAACCUUACCUGGUCUUGACAUCCACAGAACUUUCCAGAGAUGGACUGGUGCCUUCGGGAACUGUGAGACAGGUGCUGCAUGGCUGUCGUCAGCUCGUGUUGUGAAAUGUUGGGUUAAGUCCCGCAACGAGCGCAACCCUUAUCCUUUGUUGCCAGCGAUUAGGUCGGGAACUCAAAGGAGACUGCCAGUGAUAAACUGGAGGAAGGUGGGGAUGACGUCAAGUCAUCAUGGCCCUUACGACCAGGGCUACACACGUGCUACAAUGGCGCAUACAAAGAGAAGCGACCUCGCGAGAGCAAGCGGACCUCAUAAAGUGCGUCGUAGUCCGGAUUGGAGUCUGCAACUCGACUCCAUGAAGUCGGAAUCGCUAGUAAUCGUGGAUCAGAAUGCCACGGUGAAUACGUUCCCGGGCCUUGUACACACCGCCCGUCACACCAUGGGAGUGGGUUGCAAAAGAAGUAGGUAGCUUAACCUUCGGGAGGGCGCUUACCACUUUGUGAUUCAUGACUGGGGUGAAGUCGUAACAAGGUAACCGUAGGGGAACCUGCGGUUGGAUCACCUCCUUACCUUAAAGAAGC